UGAAUCAUGCCAAAAAAGACCAAUUCUCUUGAAAAGAAGUGAUCAUUUUUAGUUUUUAAUUGUUUUUACUCCAUUUUUAGUGUGACUCGCUGAAGAUGGAAUUUCUGUAAUUCCCGGAAAAUAAUCAAGAUUAAAUGAAUGUUUCCAGUGCUGUGCCUCUACGCUUUCCUCUACAACAGCUUGAGAUUCCGUGUGGACAAACCCUUCUCACAAAUUUCUAACGAAGACAGAUCCUAUGUCCAUUGCACCCCACAGCGCGAGACAUAUUUCUACAGACGCUUGCUGAUAUCCAUAGCAGGACCCCACAACAGAGAACCUGCAUUGCACUGUCCAAUCACUCAGCUGAUCGUACCAG